UACUCCAAUCUAUACUUUGACCAAAUGGCACUUCCUCAGUUUAUAAGGGUCUCUUUCUGCCUCCCAAGCUGGAAUGCCAUGAUGCGAUCUUGACUCACUUCAGCCUCAGCCACCCGGGCUCAGGGCUCAGGUGAUCCUCCUACCUCAGACUCCUGAGCAGCUGGAACUACAGGAAUUGACUUGCUUUGGCCAAGAAAUGUGAGCAGAAGUGAUGAGAACCACUUUCAACCAAAGUUUUA
rnacentral:lncRNA from 10 species